UACGGAGGGUGCAAGCGUUGUCCGGAUUUAUUGGGUUUAAAGGGUGCGUAGGCGGCUGAAUAAGUCAGCGGUGAAAGACUUCGGCUUAACCGGAGCAGUGCCGUUGAUACUGUUUAGCUUGAGUGUUGGAGGGGUACAUGGAAUUGAUGGUGUAGCGGUGAAAUGCAUAGAUACCAUCAGGAACACCGAUAGCGAAGGCAUUGUACUGGCCAACAACUGACGCUGAGGCACGAAAGUGUGGGAUCGAACAGG
rnacentral:rRNA from 1 species